AUGAGCGGAUACUGGAUUUGGGGUAUGAUGGCAGCCGCAGCCGGCUUUGCAUUUGAAAUAGGAAUUUACAACUUCCGGAAAUUUCAUUUUUUGGGCACGUGCAAUCCUAGGCCUGGUGAUCUGCUGCAGCUCAUCAGUAAGCCGGCGCAACCACCGGCACUAGCCCCGAUGCCGCUGCUGAUGGAUUCCGACGUGUCGGAGCCGCCCAUACUGCCCGCAAGAUUGAACAAUGCUACUACAGCUUCAGCACCUUCGUCUCCACGCAGGAUGCAGACUCGGAUCCCAUUCCUCGUCACCUUGGCAAUGCUUUCCACCUGGGUCGCGGUCUAA
rnacentral:rRNA from 1 species